UCCGGGAUCGUCUAAUGGUAGGACAGCAGCCUUUGAAGCUGUUUAUCUACGUUCGAAUCGUAGUCCCGGAG
rnacentral:tRNA from 3 species